GGAGCUUUGUGAACAAUGGGGAAUGUUGACCAACUGCGAGGUAUUGGAAGAGGCAGGCACCAAUCACUUCAGAGACAUUGUAUUUGUCAGCAGGCCCCCGUGGAAGAAGUAGAAGCAGCCAUGCAUGCAAGGCCUCUGAAGGUGGAUGGACAAGAAAACUUCAAGGCGAGCCAAACAAGCUUUUCUCAAGAGAAGGCUCUUGAAAGCCUGCCAACCUGGUUAAGUUAGACACUGAAGAACUCCUCUCAAGAGGAAAGGACCAAGAUGUCAGAGGCAGAAACCCUGGCUCUAAUGGUGGCAGAAGUCACUCUUCUGGCAAACCACAAGACCAAGAGAGAUACACUAAAAGGAAACAAGACAAGUACAAAGCUCUCAAGGAGUCUAAGACCGUGUACCCGAGCCCAGGAAGGCCCUGUUCUAUUUCAACGUCACAAUCCAGGACCCAUAUGAGUCAAAUAAGACCCCAGAAGAGACUGUUCAUUUACACAUGGGGGGAGCAUGAGCUGGAGAUCUGCUUUUUGACCUGCCUGGCAUUCAUUUCCUAAUUAUAAGCAACCUGUUUUCACUCCUGGUCCCAGCGAUCCAGGUGGGAAUCCAGACCUCACCUGCUCUGCUCCAGGGCUGGGCAUAUGAUCCACACCUGAUCAAUCAUCAUUUUCUAUCCUCUUGGUCGAGAUGAUUGCCUUUGGGUUGAGAAUAUAACCCAAGCCAGGCCAAUGAGACUCAGUCCUGGAACUUUCGCUGGAGAUACUGGGAGAGAGAUUGUCUCUUUGAGCUUAGAGUUGCACACUGUGCGGCUGAGCUCAGCCUGGAGCUUCCAAGAAAAGUCACUUGGCUAGAGCCUGCCUGGGAAAGAAAACAGGCAAGAGAGGGGAAGCUGGCCUGGGACCUGUGGACUUAUGAACACUG